UUUAAGGCAAUUCAAUUGAUCCUUCUCCUAAAUUCUAAUACACCAUUCAAAUUUUGGUUGCAAUUGUUACAAAACUCAAAAAAGUUUAUAAUGUUUUUUACAAUACAUUCAAGUAUAACUUCAUUCAAGUUUUACAUUAUUUCUCACAAGGCUUAUAAAGAAAGUUUCAUUGUUUAUAAGGUUAUUUCAUUACAACUCUUAAAACAAGACAGUUCGAAAAUUCAAAAACUAAAUCAAUACAAGAUGUUCCUAAAGGCUAAAUGUUUUCAAGCUUUUGAGUUUGUUUACUCCAAGACUUCUUCCUCUUCAAGAUUUAUUCCAAACUCUUAUGUGUUGUCCUACUAUGGCCACGGAUUCUCCCAAAGGAAGAUCUUCAUAACUUCACCAUCUUUCCAGAGUCUUGACAUCUUCAUCCAUUCCUCAAGACAAGCUCAUCACAUGAAAAUAAGAAAAAUAAGAAAUGUUAGUGAUCAAGAAACAAGCAUGUGA